UACAGAGGGUGCUAGCGUUGUUCGGAAUCAUUGGGCGUAAAGGGCGUGUAGGCGGUUUGUUAAGUCAUGUGUGAAAUCCCUCGGCUCAACCGGGGAACGACGCAUGAAACUGGCAAGCUAGAGUACCAAAGAGGGGGGUGGAAUUCCCGGUGUAGCGGUGAAAUGCGUAGAUAUGCGGAGGAACACCGAUGGCGAAGGCAAUCCCCUGGGCCUGCACUGACGCUCAUGCACGAAAGCGUGGGGAGCAAACAGG
rnacentral:rRNA from 1 species